rnacentral:rRNA from 1 species
UACGUAGGGUGCGAGCGUUGUCCGGAAUUAUUGGGCGUAAAGAGCUUGUAGGCGGUUUGUCGCGUCUGCCGUGAAAAUUCGAGGCUCAACCUCGAACUUGCGGUGGGUACGGGCAGACUAGAGUGUGGUAGGGGAGACUGGAAUUCCUGGUGUAGCGGUGAAAUGCGCAGAUAUCAGGAGGAACAGCCGAUGGCGAAGGCAGGUCUCUGGGCCACUACUGACGCUGAGAAGCGAAGACAUGGGGAGCGAACAGG